rnacentral:pre_miRNA from 1 species
CACGUACUUUUUUUUCGUUUCGAAUUACUUGUCGCGGGUAUAGAUGUAUCUAGAUGUAUUUUAGUUUUAGAUACAUCCGUUUCUGCGACAAGUAAUUUGGAACGGAGCGAGUAGCAU